CGCUGCUGGGGCGCCGCGCUCAGACUGGGCGGGCGCUCGGGCUGCGCGGGCUCUCGGCGGCGGCGGCAGCAGCAGCAGCAGCAUCCUCUCUGCCUUUUCUUCCCUUCCGCUUCUUUCUUUUCCUUCUCCUCCUUUCCCCCUUCUUCCCCUGCCCCGUCCCCCCCUCAACUUCUCCAGAGGGCAAGAGCCCUCCAAGUCCGUGAGCAGUGGCAGCCGCGACCGUGGGUCCGUUCUGUUACUGCGCCCAGGUAAGGGAUCCGUCCCCACCUCUGGUCCCAUUAGA
rnacentral:lncRNA from 1 species